rnacentral:rRNA from 1 species
GGGGAUAGCCUUUCGAAAGAAAGAUUAAUACCCGAUGUCAUAGUCCUACCGCAUGAUGGGAUUAUUAAAGAAUUUCGGUAUGGGAUGGGGAUGCGUUCCAUUAGUUAGUUGGCGGGGUAACGGCCCACCAAGACGACGAUGGAUAGGGGUUCUGAGAGGAAGGUCCCCCACAUUGGAACUGAGACACGGUCCAAACUCCUACGGGAGGCAGCAGUGAGGAAUAUUGGUCAAUGGACGAGAGUCUGAACCAGCCAAGUAGCGUGAAGGAUGACUGCCCUAUGGGUUGUAAACUUCUUUUAUAUGGGAAUAAAAUGUUCCACGUGUGGGAUUUUGUAUGUACCAUAUGAAUAAGGAUCGGCUAACUCCGUGCCAGCAGCCGCGGUAAUACGGAGGAUCCGAGCGUUAUCCGGAUUUAUUGGGUUUAAAGGGAGCGUAGGUGGAUUGUUAAGUCAGUUGUGAAAGUUUGCGGCUCAACCGUAAAAUUGCAGUUGAAACUGGCAGUCUUGAGUACAGUAGAGGUGGGCGGAACUCGUGGUGUAGCGGUGAAAUGCUUAGAUAUCACGAAGAACUCCGAUUGCGAAGGCAGCUCACUGGACUGCAACUGACACUGAGGCUCGAAAGUGUGGGUAUCAAACAGGAUUAGAUACCCUGGUAGUCCACACAGUAAACG